UCAAUUUUAAUUUGGAAAAAAGUGAUAUUUCUAAGCCGAUUUUCGAACAUCUCUCCAUUCCAAACGAAAGAGCAUACUUUUUUCUAUAUAAUGGCAUAUUCUUUAGAGAUCUUUUCUAAAUAGUUAAAAUUUUAUGAAGAAUAUAGACAAAAUUUGAGUAUCGUUCAAUAGCGAAUUUUCAUGGUUUUUUUAAUUUUAAUUUGGAAAAAUUGAUAUUUCUAAGAUGAUUUUCGAAAAUCUGACCAUUCCAAACGAAAGAGCAUACUUUUAUCUAUAUAAUGGCAUAUUCUUUAGAGAUCUUUUCUAAAUACUUAACAUUUUAUGAAGAAUAUAGACAAAAUUUAGUAUCGUUCGAUAGCGAAUUUUCAUGGUUAUUUCAAUUAUAAUUUGAAAAAAAGUUAUAUUUCUAAGCCGAUUUUCGAAUAUCUCUCCAUUCCAAACGAAAAAGCAUACUUUUUUCUAUAUAAUGGCAUAUUCUUUAGAGAUCUUUUCUAAAUAC
rnacentral:lncRNA from 1 species